ACUAAAGUGUGCCUAAGACACGCUACAUUUAGUCCCAACUACCCCAAAUAUUGUUGGCUGAGAAAUCCUUUCAAAGUUUUGUCAUUCUCUUCCUUGUCCCUAUAUUUAUUUUCUUCUCCCUCUUUUUCUCUGCUAUGAACUCCUUAUGCAGGCGCCAAGUUGCAGCCAGCAGCAUUGGAGCAACAACAAUAGUAUUUGGAGGAGAUCCUCACAGCAAUAGCAACAAUUGAAGAAUUGAAUCAAAUUGCUGUUGCUGUUGCCAGCAAGCUGAGAUUGCAGCGCAGCAACAACAGAUGUUUGUUGGGGGAGCCUUGCAGGAGGACAUUGUAUGACUGGGCCUGAUUGUUGACCCCCUCAUCUCCUCACCCUUUAUGUUUUCACCAAUUUCUCAGUUGCAUCCAGAGAAGAAGCUUCUAACUGAGCCAUACCUUCAGCUGCAGCAACAAGACUACCAGCAACCUUGUUGCAGCUUGGCAGCAAGACAAGUAGGAAGAGGGAAGCAAUUGGAUGAUCCUCUGAAGCUCCAAUUUCAAAAUUGAGCACUUGUGUUGUGUGGGGAAGUUGUGAACUAGCUUGCACCUUCCUUGAGCUAGAAUUGCAGGAGCGAAGCUUUGGAAGAGUUGGGAGUGAUCUUGACUUUAUCCUCUAGUGGUUAGAGUGUUGUUUGGAUAAAUUAAGAGGUAAGAUGAGUGAGAAUUUCAGUUUUCAUUGAGGUCAUAAAUCAAAAAAUAGUUUUUACGUUGAAGCUGAAUUCUUGACCUCUAUUUCUUAAUGUUAUUGGAAUUUGGCGGUGAAUUGUGAAUUUUUAUUGUAGUCUAGAAAUCAAAGAUUACUCA